rnacentral:rRNA from 1 species
AACGAACGCUGGCGGCAGGCUUAACACAUGCAAGUCGAACGCCCCGCAAGGGGAGUGGCAGACGGGUGAGUAACACGUGGGAACAUGCCCCAAGGUACGGCAUAUUCUCGGGAAACUGGGAGCAAUACCGUAUGUGCCCGAAAGGGGAAAGAUUUAUCGCCUUUGGAUUGGCCCGCGUUGGAUUAGCUAGUUGGUGGGGUAAAAGCCUACCAAGGCGACGAUCCAUAGCUGGUCUGAGAGGACGACCAGCCACACUGGGACUGAGACACGGCCCAGACUCCUACGGGAGGCAGCAGUGGGGAAUCUUGGACAAUGGGCGCAAGCCUGAUCCAGCCAUGCCGCGUGAGUGAUGAAGGCCCUAGGGUUGUAAAACCCUUUCGUGGGGGACGAUAAUGACGGUACCCCAAGAAGAAGCUCCGGCUAACUUCGUGCCAGCCGCCGCAGUAACAC